rnacentral:pre_miRNA from 1 species
UGGGGGAGGCCGGAUCCUGGGCUGUGUCCUGGCGCCUUGUGCUUCUGGGCCUGUGCUGUUGGAUUCACGUUCCCGGCUGUGCAGCUGCCU